UUCCCAGGUACGGCGCGGGUGAAAAACGUGCACCUGUUGAUCUCUCCAGUUCUCCCCCUCUCCCCCUUCGAAGAUGGUGACCACCAGAAGCACCCCUGGCUGACCCGCCGGCUCGUUCCUCUUCCGGCUUGGCCCAGUCUCCUCCUUCGCCUACUCAGUGUUUACAUCCAGAGCUGGAGGAGGAGCUGGACUCAGCAGCGGGGAAGGGCUCCGGCUGCUGUUGCGACCUUGUGGCGCUGCUCCUCUUGAGUAAGCUGCCUGUCCUCUUGAGCCACGAGGAGAGCCAGGGAGCGCCGGCUUGUGCCUUUUCCUUCUUGGGACUGAAGAGCAUGGAGCUUCCUUUCCCCUGUCAGCUGGAGCCAGGAAGGGCUGCUGCUGGCUGCUGCUGCUGCUGUGUGUUUUAAAAAAAUCAAACCCAAGAGAAUGAAAGGAAUCCAGGGGUGUGGUGUUAGCCUUUGCCUGUUCAGAAGGUGCUCUCCUGCACAGUAGCUGUUGAUCAUAAGGCUUUGUGAAAUGUAAUUCACAAGUCUGGAAAGCAAGAAGGAAAGGUCUGGUUGAACACAUGAAAAGGGUGCCUUCAUGUUCAGCCAAAUGCAAGGAAGUUGGGUGUGUAGUUUACAGACAUGGCCUUGCUCCCUCCUUCAUACUGUGGUUGUGUGGCGAGGAACAAAUGAAAGGGGCUACAAUCUGCAUCACAAGUAGGAUCUGCAGGACCAUGGACAGUUCCAAAGUGGUAGACAAGCUGCUCUGAGAAGACCCAGAAGUCAACUGACACUUUAUAUCAUGAUGUUGGCCUUCAUUCUAUGAU